rnacentral:rRNA from 1 species
CGGCAAGAGCUCAAAUUUGAAAGCUGGCUCCUUCGGGGCCCGCAUUGUAAUUUGCAGAGGAUGCUUCGGGAGCGGCCCCCAUCUAAGUGCCCUGGAACGGGCCGUCAUAGAGGGUGAGAAUCCCGUCUGGGAUGGGGUGCCCGCGCCCGUGUGAAGCUCCUUCGAC